rnacentral:rRNA from 1 species
AACCCAAACUAAUUAUUUUCGGCGUAAAACGUGCCAACUAUAAAUCUCACAAUAGAAUUAAAACCCAACUUAUAUGUGAAAAUUCAUUGUUAGGACUAAAGACCGAUAACGAAAGUAAUUCUAAUCAUUUAUAUAAUGCACGAUAGCUAAGAUCCAAACUGGGAUUAGAUACCCCACUAUGCUUAGCCCUAAACCUUAAUAAUUACAUCUACAAAAAUAUUUGCCAGAGAACUACUAGCUACAGCUUAAAACUCAAAGGACUUGGCGGUACUUUAUAUCCAUCUAGAGGAGCCUGUUCUAUAAUCGAUAAACCCCGUUCUACCUCACCACCUCUUGCUAAUU